rnacentral:lncRNA from 1 species
GACUUCUUAGAACCAGCAAAGCACUUGGAGAGCAUUCUGUUUGCCUUUUUCUUACAUACCAGGUAGCUUGCGAUUCUGCUUGAUACAUCAGUUUGUCUUCUACGUAGAGAGGAUUCUAGAUCUUGAACUGAAUCUCUCAUAUGCGAGAGAGCAUCUUUUGAGGUGCUGCACUGAUCCAAUAACCUAAUGGACCCGCAAAGAUAUCUUCUCCGCAGCUCAAACGAUCUUGCUGUGCGGCUUGCGAUUGGAUCAAAUCUUCUACACACUCAUAUAAGUCCUUGAAGAGCGGAUAAUUUGUCGCAUUUGGAUACUGUCGAUGAGGAUGUCCCUUCCGGGGUCCUUAAUCUGCGCAAGUGCUCCUCAACAGUGGCUGUCAAGAGAUGAGAUCUGGAUGGUAAGCUGAUGGAACGAGAAUGAGCACUAACUUUUGUGGUUGCAAUUGAGGCUGCCAUUUUUAUUUGCAGGAGGAAUUAGAUGCCAAUGAAAAUCCUGAACUCAAGGUUUGUUUGAUUGAACUCUCACCUUGGCACCUUUUUAUAAACUAUGAGGAGACAAAAGGAAUCAACUUAAUUUCCUUCAUGUGCCGAACAGAGAAACAGGCCAAGGUAACUAGGGGCUGAGGGCAAAACAGGCUAGAAUAGGGAUUAGUGACUCGGGUUGACCUAGCAAUGCAGUUUGUAAAAUUUUGUGUGUGAUUACUAUAUUAUAGUUUGAUUAUAUAUCUGGAUGAUCUGAAUUUUAAAGCUAUUUGCACUCAAAUCGCAAUUAAUCUUCUGUGUAUGUUUAUAUUAAUAUGAAUUGCCACCCGGAUCCGGUCUACUUCUAGUUUACAUUAGAUAGAUAAUUACAGUAUUGAUUGCGAGAAAAGAAUUGGGGACGGGUAUAACUCCUUUUUUUGACCCUGCACUGCGUUCUUAUUUGCGGUUUUGGGAUAUGUGAUGGGUAUGAGAAGGAUCCUGUUGCAGAAAUAUAUAUAUUUUGCAAAUUGUGUUGUUGAUGAAAUAUACGCGAAACCGAAUAUUGACUUUAAACAGUUGUUUUCGCAAUCUUUCUCGUUGAUAAUAUACUAGCUUCACAUACAGUCUGUACUCAUGUAUGUACAAAAACUGAUCCCUCACAAAAAUUCGGGGAUGCAGUAAUAGUCUAUCUAAUAGACAAUUCUGUUGGAAAAGAACUAGUGGUUGAGCACAUUGAGAAUUAAUACUCGUGUCUUGAUCAAUGAUCGGACUAGACAGUCUAAUUGUUCUUCACAUUCUUGCAUAUUCAUGUCCAAUGCCGUCAGACAUUUCUGAACGUCUUCUGUUUCUGUGAUAUCACUUUUUUUGCUUGAUUUCUUGCUGAUAGCUUCUAAAGCCAUAUCCAUGUUGUGAACUUGGUUGAUAAUUUCUUCUGUGUCCUCUUCACAAUGUACACGCUUGGACUGUGUUGACUUGAAAACCUUUGACCAUGUGCUUUUUGUCGAUGCUUCCUUUGCAGGACAGAUGGAUGAGAAGAUAGACUCGAAAACUGAGAUGCUGACUUCUUCGACUUCCCUUAGAAGGCUCACGAUAGCAGGAGUCUCGAUGCUUUUGUUAAUUUUGGACUUCUUAGAACCAGCAAAGCACUUGGAGAGCAUUCUGUUUGCCUUUUUCUUACAUACCAGGUAGCUUGCGAUUCUGCUUGAUACAUCAGUUUGUCUUCUACGUAGAGAGGAUUCUAGAUCUUGAACUGAAUCUCUCAUAUGCGAGAGAGCAUCUUUUGAGGUGCUGCACAGAUCCAAUAACCUAAUGGACCCGCAAAGAAUAUCUUCUCCGCAGCUCAAACGAUCUUGCUGUGCGGCUUGCGAUUGGAUCAAAUCUUCUACACACUCAUAUAAGUCUUGAAGAGCGGAUAAUUUGUCGCAUUUGGAUACUGUCGAUGAGGAUGCCCCUUCCGGGGUCCUUAAUCUGCACAAGUGCUCCUCAACAGUGGCUGUCAAGGGAUGAGAUCUGGAUGGUAAGCUGAUGGAACGAGAAUGAGCACUAACUUUUGUGGUUGCAAUUGAGGCUGCCAUUUUUAUUUGCAGGAGGAAUUAGAUGCCAAUGAAAAUCCUGAACUCAAGGUUUGUUUGAUUGAACUCUCACCUUGGCACCUUUUUAUAAACUAUGAGGAGACAAAAGGAAUCAACCUAAUUUCCUUCAUGUGCUGAACAGAGAAACAGGCCAAGUAUCAGAAAAUGCAGAUCUCAAUUGUAGCAGUGUCUGUGGGAGGAGGAACAUUUGCUUGGCACAAAAUAAUAUAAUAUGCAAGAAACCAGGCUGGCGUUCAUCUGCAAAUUUUGGUAAGUUUUCUAAUAUGAAAACAAGUUAAGACCAGGGGUAUAAUUUUGCAUCUCAUGUGUUAUAUAUUAAAGUUGUCUUGAAAUUCAUAUACAUUGCAUUAUUUUUUGCAUCUUGUUGUUAGACAUGUUGUAUAUUAUUGUUAAGUAAAACAGCGCAUGAAUGGCUUGGCAUUUUUUUUAUGCAUAGAAUUAGUGAGGGCCUUUAUUGCUCCAUUCGGUCUCUAGCGAUGCAGAGCUGAACACUUGAGAUCUGUCAUUAUGUGUACUGGGUAGACAGAAGGAAUCUGAACAGCCUGCAGUCAGUUUGCAAGAACCAUUAAGGUGUGACUAGGUGUCCUGGUAACUAGGGGCUGAGGGCAAAACAGGCUAGAAUAGGGAUUAGUGACUCGGGUUGACCGAGCAAUGCAGUUUGUAAAAUUUUGUGUGUGAUUACUAUAUUAUAGUUUGAUUAUAUAUCUGGAUGAUCUGAAUUUUAAAGCUACUUGCACUCAAAUCGCAAUUAAUCUUCUGUGUAUGUUUAUAUUAAUAUGAAUUGCCACCCGGAUCCGGUCUACUUCUAGUUCACAUUAGAUAGAUAAUUACAGUAUUGAUUGCCAGAAAAGAAUUGGGGACGGGUAUAACUCCUUUUUUUGACCCUGCACUGCGUUCUUAUCUGCGGUUUUGGGAUAGUGUGAUGGGUAUGAGAAGGAUCCUGCUGCAGAAAUAUAUAUAUUUUGCAAAUUGUGUUGUUGAUGAAAUAUACGCGAAACUGAAUAUUGACUUUAAACAGUUGUUUUCGCAAUCUUUCUCGUUGAUAAUAUACUAGCUUCAUAUACAGUCUGUCCUCAUGUAUGUACAAAAACUGAUCCCUCACAAAAAUUCGGGGAUGCAGUAACAGUCUAUCUAAUAUACAGUUCUGUUGGAAAAGAACUAGUGGUUGAGCACAUUGAGAAUUAAUACUCGUGUCUUGAUCAAUGAUCGGACUAGACAGUCUAAUUGUUCUUCACAUUCUUGCAUAUUCAUGUCCAAUGCCGUCAGACAUUUCUGAACGUCUUGUGUUUCUGUGAUAUCACUUUUUUUGCUUGAUUUCUUGCUGAUAGCUUCUAAAGCCAUAUCCAUGUUGUGAACUUGGUUGAUAAUUUCUUCUGUGUCCUCUUCACAAUGUACACGCUUGGACUGUGUUGACUUGAAAACCUUUGACCAUGUGCUUUUUGUCGAUGCUUCCUUUGCAGGACAGAUGGAUGAGAAGAUAGACUCGAAAACUGAGAUGCUGACUUCUUCGACUUCCCUUAGAAGGCUCACGAUAGCAGGAGUCUCGAUGCUUUUGUUAAUUUUGGACUUCUUAGAACCAGCAAAGCACUUGGAGAGCAUUCUGUUUGCCUUUUUCUUACAUACCAGGUAGCUUGCGAUUCUGCUUGAUACAUCAGUUUGUCUUCUACGUAGAGAGGAUUCUAGAUCUUGAACUGAAUCUCUCAUAUGCGAGAGAGCAUCUUUUGAGGUGCUGCACAGAUCCAAUAACCUAAUGGACCCGCAAAGAAUAUCUUCUCCGCAGCUCAAACGAUCUUGCUGUGCGGCUUGCGAUUGGAUCAAAUCUUCUACACACUCAUAUAAGUCUUGAAGAG